GGGGAUGACUGUGGUUCAGUGGCAGAGCAUCUGCUUGGCAUGCAAGACAUACCAGGUUCAAUCCCCUGGCUCCUCCA
rnacentral:tRNA from 1 species